GAUGAACGCUGGCGGCGUGCCUAAUACAUGCAAGUCGAGCGAACGGACGAGAAGCUUGCUUCUCUGAUGCUAGCGGCGGACGGGUGAGUAACACGUGGAUAACCUACCUAUAAGACUGGGAUAACUUCGGGAAACCGGAGCUAAUACCGGAUGAUAUUUUGAACCGCAUGGUUCAAAAGUGAAAGACGGUCUUGCUGUCACUUAUAGAUGGAUCCGCGCUGCAUUAGCUAGUUGGUAAGGUAACGGCUUACCAAGGCAACGAUGCAUAGCCGACCUGAGAGGGUGAUCGGCCACACUGGAACUGAGACACGGUCCAGACUCCUACGGGAGGCAGCAGUAGGGAAUCUUCCGCAAUGGGCAAAAGCCUGACGGAGCAACGCCGCGUGAGUGAUGAAGGUCUUCGGAUCGUAAAACUCUGUUAUUAGGGAAGAACAUAUGUGUAAGUAACUGUGCACAUCUUGACGGUACCUAAUCAGAAAGCCACGGCUAACUACGUG
rnacentral:rRNA from 1 species